AUUGAACGCUGGCGGCGUGCUUAACACAUGCAAGUCGAUCGGUAACAGGUGUAGCAAUACAUGCUGACGAGAGGCGGACGGGUGAGUAAUGCUUGGGAAUCUGCCUAUUAGUGGGGGACAACCCGGGGAAACUCGGGCUAAUACCGCAUACGCUCUACGGAGGAAAGCCGGGGACCGCAAGGCCUGGCGCUAAUAGAUGAGCCCAAGUCGGAUUAGCUAGUUGGUAGGGAACGGCCUACCAAGGCGACAAUCCGUAGCUGGUCUGAGAGGACGACCAGCCACACCGGAACUGAGACACGGUCCGGACUCCUACGGGAGGCAGCAGUGGGGAAUAUUGGACAAUGGGGGCAACCCUGAUCCAGCGACGCCGCGUGGGUGAAGAAGGCCUGCGGGUUGUAAAGCCCUUUCGGUGGGGAAGAAAAGUCUCGACCUAAUACGUUGGGACCUUGACGUAACUCACUAAAGAAGCACCGGCUAACUCUGUGCCAGCAGCCGCUGUAAC
rnacentral:rRNA from 1 species